CAGCCGCCGCGGGAAAACGGAGGGUGCAAGCGUUAAUCGGAAUUACUGGGCGUAAAGCGCACGCAGGCGGUUUGUUAAGUCAGAUGUGAAAUCCCCGAGCUUAACUUGGGAACUGCAUUUGAAACUGGCAAGCUAGAGUCUUGUAGAGGGGGGUAGAAUUCCAGGUGUAGCGGUGAAAUGCGUAGAGAUCUGGAGGAAUACCGGUGGCGAAGGCGGCCCCCUGGACAAAGACUGACGCUCAGGUGCGAAAGCGUGGGGAGCAAACUGGAUUAGAUACCCCUGUAGUCCCUGUCUCUUAUAC
rnacentral:rRNA from 1 species